rnacentral:rRNA from 1 species
UUUAAUUGAAGAGUUUGAUCAUGGCUCAGAUUGAACGCUGGCGGCAGGCUUAACACAUGCAAGUCGAGCGGUAGCACAAGAGAGCUUGCUCUCUGGGUGACGAGCGGCGGACGGGUGAGUAAUGUCUGGGAAACUGCCUGAUGGAGGGGGAUAACUACUGGAAACGGUAGCUAAUACCGCAUAACGUCGCAAGACCAAAGAGGGGGACCUUCGGGCCUCUUGCCAUCAGAUGUGCCCAGAUGGGAUUAGCUAGUAGGUGGGGUAAUGGCUCACCUAGGCGACGAUCCCUAGCUGGUCUGAGAGGAUGACCAGCCACACUGGAACUGAGACACGGUCCAGACUCCUACGGGAGGCAGCAGUGGGGAAUAUUGCACAAUGGGCGCAAGCCUGAUGCAGCCAUGCCGCGUGUGUGAAGAAGGCCUUCGGGUUGUAAAGCACUUUCAGCGAGGAGGAAGGUGGUGA